rnacentral:misc_RNA from 1 species
GAUGAAGAACGUAGCGAAAUGCGAUAAGUAAUGUGAAUUGCAGAAUUCAGUGAAUCAUCGAAUCUUUGAACGCACAUUGCGCCCCUUGGUAUUCCGAGGGGCAUGCCUGUUCGAGCGUCAUUACACCACUCAAGCUAUGCUUGGUAUUGGGCGUCGUCCUUAGUUGGGCGCGCCUUAAAGACCUCGGCGAGGCCACUCCGGCUUUAGGCGUAGUAGAAUUUAUUCGAACGUCUGUCAAAGGUGAGGAACUCUGCCGACUGAAACCUUUAUUUUUCUAGGUUGACCUCGGAUCAGGUAGGGAUACCCGCUGAACUUAAGCAUAUCAAUAAGCGGAGGA